rnacentral:lncRNA from 1 species
UCUCAAAAUUUUAGUCCCUGUUUCUCCCUUGCUCCCCUACGUCUAGCCAUUCAAAGAACUCUACUCCCAUACAUUUGAUCUGCUAGUAGAACUAAGCCUCUUGCAGAUGCAAUUUCACCUUUCAGGUAGGCUUUUCCAUCGCCUUUUUUUUCUUUUAUUUAUUUCAGUUUUGUGAAAUUGAAGCUGGAAUCAUGAGUUUUGUUAAUUUGAUUUCUGUUUUUAAUUGAUUCUAUAUGAUUUCGUUAAUUUUUUGUUUGAUUUUGAUUUCUGUUAAACCCAGUCCAGAUUCUCUCUUGUUUGUUUAUAGUUACCCACAUGUGUAGGGCUUGUUCAUUUUGAUUUAAUGAUUUAUCAUACAAUCCGGACAUAAAUUAGAUUCGUUAAUGGUGUUCUUCAAAGGAGAUUGAACCUGCAGUAAUUAGGAUAGCACACUGGUGACUUGGUGGUAUAUCUGAUGCCCUCUCCAUCGCUGCCCACCUUGGUUUUUCGGUUGCUCCUCCCUCUCAGUUUGAGGUUUUUUGGGUUUAGGAAUUCGUAAUGCCCAAAUGAGGUGAAUGGAUGAUUAUUGUUGGUUAGGGGUGUGAACUUAUGACACGACAUAAAAACACGACACCAACCUAAAUCGAAAUUUCGUGGGUUUUGGUUUAGUCUAAACGGGUUCGUACGGGUAUAAUGUUGAACCCGCGAACCCUUUUUAACUAAAGGGUUGGGUUCGUGUCGAACCCAUCAGGUUGGCGGGUUAACUCGUUUAAUGUUGAACCCGCGGACCCUUUUAACUCUGCUGCAAUGUUUGCGGACCCAUUUGCGGUCGGAAUGAUGCGGGUGGUAGCGGUGGCUUUCCUUGAGUUCCGGAGGAUAACCAUGGUUGGUUAUGUGACGGUGUUUUUGUGGUGUGGUUGGUGCUGGUGACCCCGGUGAUCCCACCGAUGGGUGUCGUAAAUGGCUGUGAUCUUGGAAAUUCUGUGUAUUUUUGUCGUACAUUAAAAUAAGACACAGUGUUAAGACCAGUUAUAAUAGUACAAAACGAAACUCGAAGGUACUGACGUGUGUGGCUGGCGACUGAUUAUUAGCGUUUGUUUGCGGUCUAAGAGAUGAUUGGAGAGAUCUCUGCGGAAGUGAUGCAGUAACACCACUUGCCCGUAAAGAAGAAGUGGAACCGAGAGAGUAGUGGCUGCAUAAACGCAGCAGCAGCGGCUGCAGAUACGCAACAAGAACCGAGAGAGCAGUGACCUGUACGUCACGUGGCGCGCUAUAGUGAGCACUUAUAGCUGCUAUUGACAACUAUGAUUGGAUGUUAGCAUUGUUUUGAUAUAAGCUAUUUUUGAAAGAUAUGUAUAUACAUCUUAUCUUAAAGAAAGACCUGCACAUGUGCUUUUGUGUUUGUAUGCACUUUAUUACUGCUGGUUAGGUGAGUGAUGAGUUGAGAUUGAGUGUUAAAACUUUCAUUUUCAGGUGUCUUAGGUUUCAUUGGUAGUUCAUAGCUAUGCUGUCUAAGCACCUAGGUGCACAGUGCACUCAAGGCGUAUAGGCCAAGCCUGGAGCUUAGGUGCUAAAGAAGCGAGGGCUUUUUUAAACUAGGUGCAUAGUAUAAAAUAUAAUUUUUAAGGAUUUUAGACAUGUUUAGGGCCAGUCUGAGCUGUUUAAGGUUGAUUCCAGCCUUAUUUAAGGGUUUAUUUUUUAUUUUAUUAAUCAUUUUUACCUGAAUUUAGCCAGAAAUUGGCCUGAGCUGGUCCUGGUUGUCUGAAAGCUCACCUUACAGGCUGCAACGCUAAAUCUGCGGCGGGCUGCGCUUCAAUGCCUAAGGUGCUUUUGAAAACAUAGGUUCAUAGUUUAUAGCUGUACUUGCAGUCGUUUCAAAUGUGCUCUGUAUUUUAGUAUUGCUAGUGGAAUCUAAAUUAACACCCAACCCAGUCUACCCACCCCCUCCCCUCAAGCCUGAUUAACACCGGGAAACUUGAUCUCCAACUAUAAUACCAUUUGCAUCAUAUAUUUUAAAUGUCUAUCUAGUGGCCCUUAAUUAGGUAGUUUGUAAUAAUAUCUACUUGUCUCUUUUAGUUAUUUAUUUACGCUUAUCAAUAUACAUAAAUACGUCAAGACUUUGAAGGUAUUAUAAUAAAUUAAAACAAUAUUCAAAAUAAUCAUCUAAAAAACUAAUAUGUUUCAGUAACAGCAUCUGGGUAUAGUUAAUAACUUAAUAGAAUAUGCAGUAAACCAAACUAUUAUUCAUGACAAAACUAAUAUUUUGGUUAUAAAUAUCUAUAUACAAUAGAAUAGAAGCUUUCGUCAAGCUGGACAUCAACCAUUAUUAGUUUUUUUCAAAGCUAAUUUCAUAGAUUUUUUAAUAAGUGCUCAUUAAAUAGAUAAUUUUUCAAAGAGGCCUGCAGACUGACUGCAAACAUGCCUGCAGACCGGCCGCAAACAGGUGUAUUUGUGUCUUUUUUUUUUUAUACAAAUUCAGUCUACCAAAUAGUAAGAAUGAUAUGGCGUAUGUGUCGUUUAUAUCUACAAGUAGUCAAAUAAAAUAAAAAGACACUACUGCAAUAGCAUAUUGUUUAUCACCUCUGACUGAAGAUUAUAUGCACGAUUUUUGCAGCUCAUCGCCGUGUCGCGGGUCGCCUUUGUUUCUUGGUGGAUUUAUAGCUGGGCUGGCCUACUCAUAUCCGAUUCAAAUUUCUUUUUGGUCGGUUUCCGGCGAGUGAGGUACCUAGACUCGUCACAAAAUCAAAAGUUAAAACCUUAUAUUGUUAUUUUAAACUAUUAGUACAUGAGGUUGUUACUUUCCACAAACCAUAGGGACUAAUGGUGUAAUUAACUCUUUUGCUAAACUAAUUGGUAUUCUGUAAGAUAAGAAUGAGUAAUGGAUGAGUUGAGAUUGAAUGUUAAAAAUUUCAUUUUUACGUGUCAUAGGUUUCAUUGGUAGUUUAUAGCUGUACUUGACCCAUUAUUACUUUUCGUUAAUUCUGAUUUCUUGAUUCUAUUCAUUGGUUAUUUUGUAGAUUAAAAAGUUGAACUUAGUUAUCAAGGAGCUCGUUAAGGAAAAAGUUGAAGAAAAAGAAAGGUUCAAUGCAAUUAUUGCGGGGUUGUUGGCUCAAAAAGAAAAAAGAUAAGGUGGAUAAAGAUGCUAUGCUUGAUAGGAUGUCACAAAUUGAAGCUAUGUUAACAGCUACAGUUCGAAGAUAGGCUAUAAACGCUUGGUUUUGAAUGUUUAGAUGUGUAUCUUAUUAGGAUAAUUUUAGUUAUUUUAUGCUUUAGUUGGUGUUUUUUAUAUGCUUUUGAAAACGAGAUGUUUUAUAUAAUUUUGGGAUUUUAUUACUUUUUUUAUAUUAUUUGUAGUUUUAUUGAUAUGUAAUUUUGAUGAAAAU